GCCUUAUAGCAAUGGUGAACUUAUGAAUCGUGUCAGAUCUGGAAGGAAGCAGCACUAAGUAUGCUUCGCCAUGUGCUGUAAGUACAU
rnacentral:SRP_RNA from 2 species